rnacentral:rRNA from 1 species
GGCUUACCAAGGUGAUAACGGGUAACGGGGAAUCAGGGUUCGAUUCCGGAGAGGGAGCCUGAGAAACGGCUACCACAUCCAAGGAAGGCAGCAGGCGCGCAAAUUACCCAAUCCAGACAAUGGGAGGUGGUGACGAGAAAUACCAGGUCGGUCCUAAUAGGAUUCGACACUGGAAUGAAUAAUGGUACAACUGGAGGGCAAGUCUGGUGCCAGCAGCCGCGGUAAUCCAGCUCCAGUAGUAAAGUUGCUGCGUUUAAAACGCUCGUAGUUGGACAAUAGAUGCGGGGAGUUCACAUGCUGUAAUUUCGUGAAUUCUUUGUGUUUCGUAGUGUGCCUUGAAUAAAUCAGAGUGCUCAAAGCAAGCAACUUUGAAUGUUAAUAGCAUGGAACGAAUGUUUUGUGUACGUAAGGUGGUUUGUAUACGUAAGUGUGCAGGUUGCCUUAUAGCACCAACUCGAUUACGGAACAUUGGUUGCCGUUAAUUGGGUGAUGAUUAAGAGGGGCAUUUGGGGGCAUUAGUAUUUGGCCGCGAGAGGUGAAAUUCUUGGACCGGUCAAGGACUAACAAGUGCGAAAGCAUUUGCCAAGUAUGUUCCCAUUAAUCAAGAACGAAAGUGAGAGGUUCGAAGACGAUCAGAUACCGUCCUAGUUCUCACCGUAAACGAUGCCGACCCGGGAUCAGCUCGGAUUGCAAUAGUAUAGAUCCAGGUUGGUCCCCCUGGGAAACCUUGAGUUUUUAGGUUCUGGGGGGAGUAUGGUUGCAAGGCUGAAACUUAAAGGAAUUGACGGAAGGGCACCACCAGGUAAGUGGAGCCUGCGGCUUAAUUUGACUCAACACGGGAAAACUCACCUGGUCCGGACAGUCGAUAGGAUUGACAGACUAAUAGAUCUUUCAUGAUACGGUGGGUGGUGGUGCAUGACCGCCGUUCUUAGUUCGUGGAGUGAUCUGUCUGGUUGAUUCCGUUAACGAACGAAACUGCUGAGUCUCCAUUUAGAACGGAUGGCAGCAUACUACAGCGAGCGUGGGUACUUAUUACCUGUUCCUUUAAGUUAUACUUUGAUAACCAUACUCUGUUACGCAUUUACGCACGUCCUGUGUAGAGGGGGCCGGAAAAUUAAGCUUAAUGCAACGAGGAUACGAGGAGGUCUGUGAGGCCAGUUCCGUGUUCAGUGCUACACGGGGCGCGACAAUGAUCACUAAUACUAACUUCCAGACUAAUUAGUUGAGGGAAAUCUUUUAAUUGGGGGAGAUGAUUGGAUGCGAGUGCACUUGCUGUAUUCGAAAUAGGAACUCUAUGGGAGCAUGUGUAGUUUAGCUUGCAUGAAAUUAUUCUACGCCCUUUGUACACACCGCCCGUCGCUACUACCGAGUGAAUGGUGUCAUGAUGUCUUGGGACUGGAC